rnacentral:rRNA from 1 species
UACGGAGGGUGCGAGCGUUGUUCGGAAUCAUUGGGCGUAAAGGGCGUGUAGGUGGUCUGUUAAGUCAUGUGUGAAAGCCCUCAGCUUAACUGGGGAAGUGCGCAUGAAACUGACAGGCUAGAGUACCGAAGAGGAAGGUGGAAUUCCUGGUGUAGCGGUGAAAUGCGCAGAUAUCAGGAGGAACACCGGUGGCGAAGGCGGGUCUCUGGGCCGAUACUGACGCUGAGGAGCGAAAGCGUGGGGAGCGAACAGG